AAAAACAUGAUUCCUUANUACUGCGAGUGAAGAGGGACAGCUCAAAUUUUAAAUCCAUCGGGUUUUACCUGAUCGAGUUGUAAUUUGAAGAGGCGUUUUCUGUGUUUCUGAUCAGUCCAAGUCCUUUGGGAUAAGGCAUCAUGGAGGGUGAGAAUCCCGUCCGGUUGAUCAGAUUCGCUUUACGAUACGCUUUCUAAGAGUCAAGUUGUUUGGGAUUGCAGCUUAAAAUGGGAGGUAAAUUUCUCCUAAGGCUAGAUAACGGCGAGAGACCGAUAGCGAACAAGUACCGUGAGGGAAAGAUGAAAAGAACUUUGAAAAGAGAGUUAAAUAGUACGUGAAAUUGUUGAAAGGGAAACGAUUGAAGCCAGUCGUACCUAUGGGUAAUCAGCCUUUUGGGUGUGAUUUUGUGGAGCGUGAGGAGUUAAACGCCUUCAUGCCUGCAUAUUCGUGCACUUUGGGUGUACUUGCCCGUAUGGUUGGUUAACAUCAAUUUUGGUGGUCAUAAAAUGACUGGAGGAAUGUAGCUUCGAUCUUGUAUUGAAGUGUUAUAGCCUUCGGUAGAUGUGACGAUCGAGAUUGAGGAUUGCAACGGAUACCCUUCGGGGCUACCUGUCUGAUCUCUGAUCGUUGCUCUGGUGCCGAAAGCUUGCUUACGGUUAUCAAAGUCGAUGGUCAAUAGGUUAGAACGGGUUAAAUUCGUUAAGGAUGUUGACGUA
rnacentral:rRNA from 1 species